rnacentral:rRNA from 1 species
GACGAACGCUGGCGGCGUGCUUAACACAUGCAAGUCGAACGGGCACUUCGGUGCUAGUGGCGAACGGGUGAGUAAAGCGCAGGUAAUCUGCCGCAAAGUCGGGGACAACGUCCCGAAAGGGACGCUAAUACCGGAUGUUGUGAGAUUCUCGCAUGGGAGUUUCACUAAAGAUUUAUCGCUUUGCGAGGAGCCUGCGUCCGAUUAGGUAGUUGGUGUAGUAAAGGUGCACCAAGCCGACGAUCGGUAGCCGGUCUGAGAGGAUGAACGGCCACAAUGGAACUGAGACACGGUCCAUACUCC